UAUCUGGAAAUGAACGCACUUUUAUUUAAUUCGUGGGUCAAAGACAAAAUCACAAAAGAAGUACAAAAACAUUUAGAAUUGAAUGAUAACAAUAAUACAACAUAUGAAAAUUUGUGGAAUGCAGCUAAAGGAGUGCUUUUAGGGAAACUUAAAGCUUUAAGUAUUUGGAUUAGAAAAGAAGAAAGAUCUGAAAUCAGUGAUGUAAGUUACACCUUAAGUAACUAGAAGAAGAAGAGCAGGAACAAAGUAAGCUAAAGGAAGGAAAGAAAGACGAGAAAUCAGCUAACUAGAAAACAGGCAGCAGCAGAGAAAACUAACAAGGCAAAACUUUGUUCUUUGGUAACUUGACAAACCUCAAAGCUGACUAAUCAAGAUAAAAAUAGGGGGCCGGCCCCAGGACCCAGUGGUGAAGUUCAUGUGUUCUGCUAUGGAGGUUCCCCGUUCACUGGUUCGAAUUCUGGGCACAGAAUUACUCACCACUCAUCAGGCUAUACUGUGGCUGCAGCCCAUGGAGAAGAACUAGAAUAACCUACAACUAGGAUAUACACCUAUGUACUGGGGCUCUGGGGAAGGAAAAAAAAAGAGGGAGAUUGGCAACAGGUGUUAGCUGAGGGCCAAUCUUCCUCACCAAAAGAAAAAGAAAAAGAAAAAGAGAACAAAAAUCACCGUAUUAGGAAUGAAAAAGGGAUUACUACCACAGAUACUACAGACAUUAAAAGGAUAAUGAGAGAAUGCUAUGAACAACUCUAUGUCAACUUCGAUGAAACGGACAAAUUUGUUUUGUUAAAUUUCAACUUAAAUUAAAACAAAACGAUAAAAUGGAAAAAAGAAAAAGAAAUUUAGGGACAAAUAUUACUUGGGACUACAGAGGCAAAAAUCUUUUAGCAAAACAAACUAAUAGGAUAUAAGUUUAAUAUACAAAACUGUCACCAAAUAUGUUAUAUAUAAGCAACAAAUAAUUGGAAAUACAAUUUAAAUAUCAUUCCAAGUACACUAGUGCCAGAAAUCAUCAAAUUCUUAGGAAUAAAUCUUAGAAACAAUGUCUCAGACCUCAGAAAACCAAGACACUGAAAACCAAGAAACGCUGCUGAGAGGAAGAAGCACAAAUAAAUGCACCCCCUUUUCCUAGAUAGUGAGGCUCAACGUUGCUAAGAUGGCAAUUCUCCCCAAAUUGAUCCAUAGAUCCAACAAAAUUCCAAACAAAAUUCUAGGAGGCUUUUGGUAGAAAUUGAUGAGCUGAUUUAAAAAAUUUAUAUGCAAACAUAAAAGACCUAAAAAAUAUUUAAAAUAACCAAAGCAAUUUUUAGAAAGAUGAACAAAGUUAACUUAUUUUUAGGUAAAGCAAAAAAAGCUGAGAUAAUUAGUCGUGUUUCUGAACAGUUACACUUGCAAAAUUUCCAUUGAUUUUCUUCCCAUGAUUCACUAAACAGAGGCAUAUGUAACCACUUUGGGAAUAGACAGGAGAAUUGGGGGGGAAAGUAGAAAGUCAAACACUGGCUUCCUUCACAGGAGCCUCAGAGGAAAUGCCCUUUUAGAGCAGGUUCUAGACUGGAGGUGAGACACACAGAAGAGGAGGUCACAGAAGCAUCGGGGAGAGGAAGAGAGCUCUGGUCCAUCAUAGGUAAAGAAGGGCCACAUGGAGCAGCAGGCCUUGGAAAGAGGUUUAGGGCCAAGUCUGAGAGAAAAAAACCCAGGCAGAGCUUGGUCUUCAAGGUCAGAUUCAAAGGGAAACUGCCCUUCCAUUAUGUCUCAGUCUUUUUUCCUACCUUCUCUCCCCCAAGCCUCGUGGUCCCUAAACGUCCCAGAAAGCGCUGGGCCAAGGUAAAGCAUUUAGAGUUCCAGAAAAAUUUCACCUCCCCAUCGGAACCCCUUAAGCUGCGGGGAGGGUUUCCUGAUCGAUGCCUUGCUCUCUCCCGUCCUUAGGGACAGUGCUGUGGACACAUCCCCAGCCUCAGAGGAGGUCCAGGGAGGCUGGCCCUGGUGCCUGCACCAAGCGGCAUCUCCUUCCAGUUCUCCAGAGAUCUAUGGAGUGAUUCCAGGCACGUGCUCUCCAGGUAGGUCUGGAAGCUCACUGCCAACCAGGUUGGCUUCCACUCUCGGGUCCCGCCUCUGCUCCAGAGCGAGGGUCCCUGUUCUGGAAUCUGCUCAGAGGUAGGCAGGCAGCUCACAUCCGCGCACAGGCUCCGAUUCCAGAUCCCCGGGCACCCGCCGCGCUGAACUCAGGCAGGAGGUGUGAGACCCUGGCCCCCCGCACCGCGGGAUCCUGGCUCCAAGACAGUAAUGAGCCAGAGCAGCUGUCAGGUACUCGGCACUGUAGGGAGGUACAAACACUGGUGUGUUCUCCCCUCAGGUCUGAGGGGCCAGUGGGGUCCCAGUGGGUCCCGGCCAGGGAGACAGAUGGCCCGUUGUCCAGGCAGUUGCCUUUGAAGUAUCUGGGUCUGCGAGUCCUGGCCCUUCAGGGUGCUAUGGAAACCUCUCAAGAAGUGGGGCUUUUGGGGUAGAAAGGGUGACAAUGACUCAGCUCAACCUCCUGCAGGCUUUGUCCCAAUGCAGGUUCCUCAAUGUGUGUACGUGACUGCACUGAGGGUGGGGUACUCAAAGUGAAAAGAAGGAAACUGAACAAGGGGGAAGUUGAGACCAGGGCGUAGCCAGGUGGCAUAACUGUUAAGUUUGCGCCCUCUGCUUCCCAGGCCUGGGGUGUCCAGUUCAUCCCAGCACGGACCUACACACCACUCCUCCAGCUGGACCUACACACCACUCCUCCAGCCGUGCUGUGGCCGGAUGCUACAUACAAAAUAGAGGAGGAUUGGCACAGAUGUUAGCUCAGGGACACUCCUGUCUUCCUCCCUCCCCAAAGGCAGUUUCACUCCCCUUCCCACACUCACUCACCUGGGUCUCUGUCAGGACCAGCAUCAGAGGAGCAGGUGGAGGUUUUGGGCCCCGGUGAUCUGGCGCCUCUGGACCUCUUGGAGUUGAGGGAGAACUCUGGGUACCUUCGGGCUCCUCUGUGAAAGUAAACUUCCUCUAAUUAACUUCUCUAGAAAGCAUACCCAACGGAAACAGAAAUUGGCAAGUGUCAUAGGUCUCCAGGCAGAAUAACCUGAAAAGGGGUUGUUGGAAAAGAAAAAGAGAAACUUCUGAAAAAGCCCUGUGUAGAGGGGCAUUCUCCGGUGCUCCCUCCCACUGUUUCACCCCACUCCACCACCUUAGUCAUCUUCUGCCUCCCAGAGAUCGCUCUCAAUGCUGGAGAUGCUGAGAUCUCAAACUGGAGACGUUUGGACCUUUCCAUGAGCCCUCUCCUCUGCCACACGGGGCACUCCUGCCGGCUGUCUCCCUGGUUCCUAGAAGAGAGAGUGACACCAGCUUGUCUCUCAGCCCACUUUUCUUCUUUCUUUUCUAGAAUCCCUUACCCUAUGCAGGACCGACAAAGGGCUCAGAGAAGCUUUUAACUGAGCCUUCUCGUCAAAGUCUUUGGUAUUCCCCUGUGCAUUGUGCUUCUAGAAAGACUCUUUCCCCCACAGAGCCUGAGGACAGACAGGAAGCACCGUUGGAAAACGGAAGGUGGUGGGAUGAAGGCUUCUUCUUUAAUUCUGGGUACCACUAAUGGCUGAAGGCAUUGGAUAGUGGUUCACUAUCUUUAUAGAGUUUUGCAACCAUCAUCGCUAUCAAAUUUAGAACAUUUCAUCAUCCCAAAAGAAACUCUGUACCUAUUAACAGUUGCUCCUCCCUCCUAUUUAUCUCCAAAUCUCCUAGCCCUAGGACUAUUAGCCCUGAGCUAACAUCUGCUGCCAAUCCUCCUCUUUUUUGGCUGAGGAAGACUGGCCCUGAGCUAACACCCAUGCCCAUCUUCUUCUACUUUAUAUGUGGGACGCCUACCACAGUAUGGCUUGUCAAGCAGUGCCAUGUCUGCACCCAGGAUCCGAACCGGUGAACCCUGGGCCGCUGAAGUGGAAUUUGUGAACUUAACCGCUGCGCCACUGGGCCAGGCCCAUACCAUUCUAUGUUCUAUGUCCUUUGACUAGUCUAAGUACCUAUAUAAGUGGAAUCAUAGAAUAUUUGUCUUUUUGUGACUUCCUUAUUUAUCAUCACCCAAAACUAGAAGCAACCGAGAUGUCCUUCAAUAGAUGAGCAGACAAAUGGUGGCCUAUAUCCACACCAUUAAGCAGAAAACUAUUAAGGGAACAAAAGGAGUGAACUAUUAAUCCAUGUGACAACAUGGAUGAAUGUUAAGUGCAUAUUGCUAGGCGAAAGAAGCCAGUCUGAGAAGGCUACAUGUUGUAUGAUUCCAUUUAUGUGAUGUUCUCGAAGAAGCAAAACUAUGGAGAUGGAAAAAAUGAUCAGUGAUGGCCAGGGGUUAUGGAAGGGGAGAGGGUUGACUAGGUAUAGCAUGGGGAAUUUUAGGGCUGUGAGCUAUCCUGCAUGGUACUGUAGGGACAGAUGGAAAACUAUCCAUGUAUCAAAACCAUAGGACGUUAUAGCAUGAAGAGUGGAUCUUAAUGUAUGCAAAUUUAAAAAGGUCAACCAGGAGGGUGGGGGAUCCCAGGGUGGAAUACAGACUGUGAUAAAAGCAUCCAACUGUAUUACAAAUGUCUGACCUCACCUCACUGAAGGUGGUGGGGAAAGAGACAAUGCCUAAGUAACUUUGGGAAUAAGUGGAAACAAUAAGACUAAAGACAAAAGGAACUGUACACAAGCACUGUUUUCUAGUUGGUAAAGUUGUUUUCCUCCAGGGGACAGGUUAAAAAUUCUGAAAGAGUUGUAUAUGAAUAUUGGGAUUGACAAUAAGAAAAAGGAUGGUGGACUGUGGGAGCCAAGUUUCUUACUGUUGAUAUGGGAGGUUACAGACAAGCAAGGGUGGAAAAGCUAGAGUGAACCCCACAGUGCUGACUUAGAGCUGGAGGCCUCAGUUGGAAUUAUGUUUAAUUUAAUAUAUACGUGUAUAUGCAUGCCUCAUAUACACAUAUAGUAAAAAUUUUAGAUGUGUGUAUACAUGGAUUAUUAUAUCCACACAUAUUUACCAGUUUUACCCACUGAGAAAGGCUGAAGCAAUGAUACUUGAAUAGCAACAAGCAACACAGUGCCCAGAACUUGGUUUCUAAUAUUAUUCUCUAAUGAAAGGAAUCUAGGUUCCUUGGAGAAACGUCUGGUUCUGGGGCUGGAUCAGGGAAUAUACAUGAUAAGUCUAGAGCAUUUAGUAAGCGCCAGAAAGAAAGAAAGUCCUCAAAAAAUAAAAGCAUGGGGAUAUGUCAAAGGGACUCAGGAGACAACUGAAAGAAGUCCCAAGGGACAAAAUGAACAAUUUUACACAAAAUGAGGUAAUACUAGAUUAUAGGCCAAAGUAUAAAAUAAAUACUCAUGAGUGCAUAUUGAUACAAAUAAAUGACUGAAUGAGAAGAAUAGAUGUCUCCCAUAUAGAAGAAUCCAAAUAAUUUAUGUAGAUACUCUGCCCUCAAGAAGGUGGAGCAAAACUUCCUGCCCACAGUGUCUUCCUUCAGCAGAAUAUGGAGGGGGCAGUGAAAAGUAGCUUUAUAGUGGGGGAAAUGCGGGAAACACUAGCCUGGUAUAGUGAGAUGAACGGUGACCCCUCAAAGAAAUGUCCAUGUCCCAAUCCCCAGAACCUGGGAAUGUUAAAUUAUUUGGAAACAGAGUUUUUGCAGAUUUUAUUAAGUUAAAGAUCUUGAGAUGAGGAGAUCAUCCCAGACUAUUCAGGUGGGCCUUUAUCCAAUGAUGAAUAUCCUUAUAAUAGAGACAGACAUAAGAGACAGUGAUACGAAGAAGGAGGCUGAGACUGGAGUAAUGUGGCCUCAAGCCAAGGAAUGCUGUGCAGCUGCCAGAAGCUAGAAGAGGCAAGGGAUGGAUUCUCCCGAGAGCAUCCAGAGAGAGGACAGGGCUGCCAACACCUUGGUUUCAGAAUUCAAGCCCCCAGCACUGUGAGAGAAUGAUUUUCUGUUGUUUAAGUCAUGAAACUUGUGGUAAUUUGUUUCAGCAGUGACAGAAAACUAGGACACCAGGUGCUCAAGGUCAACAUCAACAAUGAUAAAUCAAGUUGACAUUAUAUACCUUUGAUACGUUGUGUUGAGAAUGGCACUUCGUCUUGUCCCCAAACUCAUAAUCCCUGUCUAAUCAUGAUCAAAAUUUAUAAAGCCACUUCAAAGAACAUUCUAUAGUAUAUCUGACCAGUACUCCUAAAAAAUGUCAAGGUCAUCAAAAACAAGGAAAGUCAAGAAACUGUCACAGUCAGUGAAGCCUAAGGGGACAUGAAGGGGACCAAAUGUAAUGUGG
rnacentral:lncRNA from 1 species